AGCUUUGUGCAGUGGCAACAUUGUAGCCAAUGAGGUUUAUCCAAGGUGUGAUUAUUGCCAGUUGAAAACUUUUCCUAAUACCUGACCCUGACAAAGCGAAAUAUAGUCAGCAGCAGCAACUUUUGAUGGUCUGUACAGA